rfam:Pan troglodytes isolate Yerkes chimp pedigree #C0471 (Clint) chromosome 3, whole genome shotgun sequence.
UAAGCCAGUUUAAUGUUUUCUAUACAGACCCUGGCUUUUCUUAAAUUUUAUAUAUUGGAAAGCCCAUGUUUGUAUUGGAAACUGCUGGUUUC